GAUGAACGCUGGCGGCGUGCCUAAUACAUGCAAGUCGAGCGAACGGACGAGAAGCUUGCUUCUCUGAUGUUAGCGGCGGACGGGUGAGUAACACGUGGAUAACCUACCUAUAAGACUGGGAUAACUUCGGGAAACCGGAGCUAAUACCGGAUAAUAUUUUGAACCGCAUGGUUCAAAAGUGAAAGACGGUCUUGCUGUCACUUAUAGAUGGAUCCGCGCUGCAUUAGCUAGUUGGUAAGGUAACGGCUUACCAAGGCAACGAUGCAUAGCCGACCUGAGAGGGUGAUCGGCCACACUGGAACUGAGACACGGUCCAGACUCCUACGGGAGGCAGCAGUAGGGAAUCUUCCGCAAUGGGCGAAAGCCUGACGGAGCAACGCCGCGUGAGUGAUGAAGGUCUUCGGAUCGUAAAACUCUGUUAUUAGGGAAGAACAUAUGUGUAAGUAACUGUGCACAUCUUGACGGUACCUAAUCAGAAAGCCACGGCUAACUACGUGCCAGCAGCCGCGGUAAUACGUAGGUGGCAAGCGUUAUCCGGAAUUAUUGGGCGUAAAGCGCGCGUAGGCGGUUUUUUAAGUCUGAUGUGAAAGCCCACGGCUCAACCGUGGAGGGUCAUUGGAAACUGGAAAACUUGAGUGCAGAAGAGGAAAGUGGAAUUCCGUGUGUAGCGGUGAAAUGCGCAGAGAUAUGGAAGAACCCCUGUGGCGAGGGCGACUUUCGGGUCUGUAACUGACUCUGAUGUGCGAAAGCGUGGGGAUCAAACAGGAUUAGAUACCCUGGUAGUCCCCGCCGUAAACGAUGAGUGCUAAGUGUUAGGGGGUUUCCGCCCCUUAGUGCUGCAGCUAACGCAUUAAGCACUCCGCCUGGGGAGUACGACCGCAAGGUUGAAACUCAAAGGAAUUGACGGGGACCCGCACAAGCGGUGGAGCAUGUGGUUUAAUUCGAAGCAACGCGAAGAACCUUACCAAAUCUUGGCAUCCCUUGACAACUCUAGAGAUAGAGCCUUCCCCUUCGGGGGACAAAGUGACAGGUGGUGCAUGGUUGUCGUCAGCUCGUGUCGUGAGAUGUUGGGUUAAGUCCCGCAACGAGCGCAACCCUUAAGCUUAGUUGCCAUCAUUAAGUUGGGCACUCUAAGUUGACUGCCGGUGACAAACCGGAGGAAGGUGGGGAUGACGUCAAAUCAUCAUGCCCCUUAUGAUUUGGGCUACACACGUGCUACAAUGGACAAUACAAAGGGCAGCGAAACCGCGAGGUCAAGCAAAUCCCAUAAAGUUGUUCUCAGUUCGGAUUGUAGUCUGCAACUCGACUACAUGAAGCUGGAAUCGCUAGUAAUCGUAGAUCAGCAUGCUACGGUGAAUACGUUCCCGGGUCU
rnacentral:rRNA from 1 species